rnacentral:lncRNA from 1 species
CUGCGUAACCAGGCAGGAGUAGGGGUUGGGGUUCGGGGUUGGGGGACAGCCAGGGAUCGCGUCUGAUAUGCUGUUGGGGUCGUGACCGUCUGGGGGCCGAGGCAGGCACUGGCCAGACCCAGCCAGGGAUCCUCGUAUUCGUCGAGCCUAAUUUCCAGCAGCCGGGUAGGCCUCACCAGAGGCUCCUUUCCGUGAGGCCGCCCCCAAUUCCUGCCCCUAUUCUCUGCCUGGGAGAUGGCUUCCCCGAGCCCCCCGCCGGAGUCGAAGAGAGACUUGAUAAAUCGGCCUGAGAAAAUAAGUAAUGCUCCAGACUAGCUCUCUCAUUUGUGAGUUCUCCAGGUGAAGCACCAUUUUUGACCUUCCCUUGUGUCUUCUGUUCCUGGCACUGUGCCUGGACCCCAAGGGGUUGCUGACAUUUGAGGAUGUGGCUGUGUUUUUUACCCAGGAGGAGUGGGAUUAUCUGGACCCAGCUCAGAGAAGCCUGUAUAAAGAUGUCAUGAUGGAGAAUUAUGGAAACCUGGUCUCA